rnacentral:rRNA from 1 species
AACGCGAAGAACCUUACCUGGCCUUGACAUCCUGGGAACCCUGCAGAGAUGCGGGGGUGCCUUCGGGAACCCAGAGACAGGUGCUGCAUGGCUGUCGUCAGCUCGUGUCGUGAGAUGUUGGGUUAAGUCCCGCAACGAGCGCAACCCUUGUCCUUAGUUGCCAGCAUUCAGUUGGGAACUCUAAGGAGACCGCCGGUGACAAACCGGAGGAAGGUGGGGAUGACGUCAAGUCAUCAUGGCCUUUAUGGCCAGGGCUACACACGUGCUACAAUGGUAGGAACAGAGGGAAGCCAACGCGCAAGCGGGAGCCAAUCCCAGAAAACCUAUCGUAGUCCGGAUUGGAGUCUGCAACUCGACUCCAUGAAGUUGGAAUCGCUAGUAAUCGCAGAUCAGCAUUGCUGCGGUGAAUACGUUCCCGGGCCUUGUACACACCGCAUAC